rnacentral:snoRNA from 1 species
GCUUCAAGAAGUUUCCUAGCGCUCUGUGGCAGUUUAUGGAUUCACACGAGAAAAGGAGACAAUUCACAGAGCUAGCAUUAUUUUGCCUCCUGUCUUCAGAGAUAUAUUCUGCUGUUUUGUGAGACAUUU